CUCACCAACUGUGAAGUGUGAAGCCACGACUGCAACGGAAGCUCAGCUUGAUGUGGCACCAGAGACUCAUGAUGGCUUUGAUGAAAAGAAAAUAGAAGAAAGGUAAAGAAAAUACAAGAUCUGUGAGAAAGCGUAAUAACUGUUCUGACAGAGCUGCUAUCACAAUCAUGAUCUAACUUGUUGUGACAUGUACCUGUAAUUUUCGCCUUAGCCUAACAGGUAGAAUUAAAAGCUUUUCAGAACCCAUGUACUGUGUUUGGCUUGAGAUUGAGAUUGCUCAUCUAGAGAAUAGGCCCUGAAAUAUGUCCUGCUGACUGCUACUGUAACUGUAAUGGUUUAUUUGACUGUCGCAGAUGUGAGGAUCUGUACAGGUUUCGUCUGCAGUUGCUCUGCCUGAGGAUGUGGACCAAUAGACUCAGGUUCCUCUCUCAAGCCUGCUGUCAUGACAGGAGACGGGCUCUAAGCAAAGCUCUGUAUGCUCUAAGAUGGGCCGUCAACAUGCAUCGUGCGCAAACUGAUGCAGUGGAGAGGAGGAGAAGCGCUUUUCUGCUCGGUCACACUUUUUACCAGUGGAAGAAUCACUAUGAGAGCAAACACCUGGAAAACUCAUUCCACAAUGAGCGCAACACAGCUGCUUUGAGAAAACGACUCAUUCCUCCCAGCAAUACUUUAGUCCUGAUGACCACAUGUUCCACCUGGAAGAACCUGCAUGUGCUCAGAACGGCUGUGAUUCAUCAUCAGUAAGAAUCAUGCUGUGAUCUGGGUCAGAUCUGCAGUUACCUCUCCAUGAAUAAGAGUUCCUAGAUAUCCCUGAGUCACAGUCCUGGACAUGAAUCAGGAUUUUCCUUUAUUUUAUGAGUGCAUAAUGUGGGUGCUGGUUUGUUUUGAUGCCUUAUUUAGAAACACCAUUCAUCAGAACGUUUUCUUCAGAACAUGUAAAUAUAGCUGUGCAUGUUUUAUGUCCUGACAGUCUAUCUGUACUGUAUAAGCACUGGCUGCUCUGGAGGCAGGUGUGUUCGAGGCGGUUCUUGAGAAGUCACCAGGAGUGGUGGUCAUGUGUUUGGUGGGACAGGAGACUCCAGAGCAAAGCCUGGACCCUGUGGACAUUAACCAGGCAGAGGACACAGCUGGCCGCACAUCAGUACAGGAUGCAUUUGUUAUCAUCACAAUGGAAGGACUGGAAGAUCAGGAACAGUCAGAAGAAGACGGAGAAGUUGAUUCAGUCCAUUCAGAGGAGCAACCUUCUUCACUCCUUCCAUCUCUGGAAGAAAAGAGCAGAAGCCUGUCAAAAAGACAGAGAAAAACAGUUGGUUUUGAGCCGACGCACCCUGCACUCCUGGCACUGCUACUUUCAGAAGAAAAAGCUAACACGGUUGAGCACCAGAGCACGAUGGAUGCUCUCCAGAUGGAUGUUAGCAGGUAGGUGAGGUCUCCUCCGGACAGAGUUCAGUAGGAGCCCCUGACACUGACAGCACUGCGGAUGUGAGCGUGAGUCUGCUGAGGUGAGAGACUGGAAGUGAUCCAGGUCCUGUCCAAAUCUGUGCAGCAACCUUCAGGAAGUGGAGAGAUGUCUCAGACAGGAAGCAGGACACGAGGAGAUGUCUGGAAAGAGUGCGCCUCCUGCAGGAGAAGGGUAGGAUGCAGGCUGCGUUUGCAGUUUGGUGUCAAAGCGCUGGGGUGAGGAAGGCAUUGGAAACGGGCUUCCAUAGUUAACAGUUGCAUGAAAAAACACACAGCUAAAUGUUACAUUUGCAGUCACUGAAAUAAUUAUUCAGUCUUGUGUUUUAUGAAAACCUUGAACUGUUUACUGAACCAAAAUCUGAAGCAAUUGCAGAAUCUUACAAAGGAUUGAUUUCUUAUGGCUUGUUCACUGAGUUUACAGUUCUUGUACUGAUGUACAUCACACAUCUUCCCUGUGUUCUCCUACAGCAUUUAUUUAUUAUUAAUGUUAAUUAAUCAUUCAUUUCAUGAUUACCUAGAUAUUAUUGAGUUUUACCUUGUAUGCAUUUGUAACUAAGGUGUAAAUUUGAGUUGAUAUGCAUAAACUUUUUUAAAUUUUGUUUAAUGACCAGGUUUAAUAUUUUAACAUAUUUGAUGUCCAGAUUGUCCUGUAAUAUUUAUAAUAAUGAAAUCUUAACAAGACUGUUUAAACCACACAAGUUCUCAGAGUGGAGAAUGAAGCUGUAAUCAUUUUUAUAACCUAUCGGUCUUAAUGAGUCAUAUGAUGUAUUGAUUGACUGCUGUAAUGAAGAAUCAGUUUAGCAGUGCUUUUAUAAAAUCUUGCCUUGUUCUUACGUGCUUCUAAAGUCUUACAUUAAUAACAGCUGAUAUAACUGCAUCCUUCUUGCAUCAGAGCACUUGAUAUGAAGCAACAAUUUGAAGUUGAGCCGUUGUGCACUAUUUAUGCAUGUAUGUUUUGUCAGGUGUUUGUCAGCGUGGAGAGCACUGGUUCAGCGCAGUGCAUUACUUCUGCGUUACUGUGAUCAGAGAAAGGCGCUGGCACUCAAGACGUGCUUACAGCACUGGAGCAGAUCUCGACAGCUGCACGCUCUUCACAAGCAUUUCCUCAUCCAGCGGUUUCAUUCAGGACAGACACACACAGGUUACAUCCCUUCAUGAGUGUGAUUACUGUAUUUGCUUUCGAUCGACACUAACUGAUACACACGACCGUUCAACACCAGUCACCUAUAUAAAUCUAUAUGAAAGAAAUAUUUACCAAAUAUGGUAAAAUGCUAAUGUUGUAAAUCAUUAAUACAAUGAUCCAUGUGAGGACAGGCAGGAAAUUUUUUUGAUUAUUAU
rnacentral:lncRNA from 1 species